UCCCUGGUGGUCCAGUGGUUAAGACUUUGCUUUUCAGUGCAGGGGACACAGGUUCUAUUCCUGGUCAGGGAG
rnacentral:tRNA from 1 species